rnacentral:rRNA from 1 species
ACGUAGGUGGCAAGCGUUGUCCGGAAUUAUUGGGCGUAAAGGGCUCGCAGGCGGUUUCUUAAGUCUGAUGUGAAAGCCCCCGGCUCAACCGGGGAGGGUCAUUGGAAACUGGGGAACUUGAGUGCAGAAGAGGAGAGUGGAAUUCCACGUGUAGCGGUGAAAUGCGUAGAGAUGUGGAGGAACACCAGUGGCGAAGGCGACUCUCUGGUCUGUAACUGACGCUGAGGAGCGAAAGCGUGGGGAGCGAACAG